UGGUAGAGACAAGUUCAUUGCACUACUUUCCCCCUCUUUAACUAGAUCUAGGAUCCCUUUGGCUGUCGCCUUCAGGAGAGCCUGCUGCGAAGCUGAAGGCUGCUGGUCCUUCGAUGAUGAUGGUGGUAGAAUACUAACCCCUUUUUAAUAGUGGCAGAAAGUCAGGCCUGAAGCUCGGCGGAGGGACAACUGGGCGAUCCCGGAGGGAGACGUGGACGGAUCAGCGCAACCAUCUGGGAGCCCACGAGCCCAUCGCAGGCCUGGCGGUGCGCCCGUCAGUCGCGGGGAGCACCCAGCCACCUAGAAUGCACUGCACUAGGCACGUCGGGGACUCAAGGAAAAUGUUAUUUGGAUCUGAAGCAAAAAUGGUGCACAAGAACCAAGAUAAAUGAGAAAAAGAGCUGAUUACAUCUACUUCCUUCAAUGAGUUCAAGUCACCAAGUCUAUACAAACUAAAUUUUGAAGUACUGGAUAAAAAAAAGAGAAGGCUCUCUUUGAAAGAUCUUGGAGAACAAAAGAGACUUGAAAGGAAUGGAAAAGAGUGAUUGUUCUAUACAUUUUUGGACAUGGCCAAUGCAGGAAUCUAUUUUGCUU